rnacentral:lncRNA from 1 species
GUAAUCUUCCGCUUCACAUCCACGGCCUUGGCCUUCACAUUCGCCUCCUGAAUCCCAUCGAGACACGUCUCGUCAUCCGUGAGGGCGGCGCUCAGCCACGUCUGGGCAUUGCUCAUCUGGAAUCGAAACGUCUCCUUCCGGAGGUGGUGCAGCUCGGCGAGCGUCUCGCUCAGCUCGUCCACCGACGUCGACAUCAGGUCCACGCAGUCGCCGAUCGCCGAGAGCUGCAGCUUCGUCCCCUUGAAGGAGGCGGAGAGCUGGGCGAGGAAGCCGGAGACGCGGAGUGAGCGGGCGAGGCUAACGUUCACAGCGGCCUGGGCGAGGUCGCGGGGGGUCUUGGCGGGGCCGGCGUAGUUGGAUAGAGUGCGGAGGCAGAUUUUGGGGUAAGUGGCGUGGCGACAUGAUGAACGGACGAUAUUUGAUGCUGGGUGGUGUUUCCCUGCGGCGGAGGCGGAGUACAGCGAGCAGAAGAGGAGGACGAGGAGAGGGAGAAGAGAGAGUAGGAAACGCAUCGAGGAGGUGAGUAGAGUGAAGAUUGAAGAGUGUGGAAUUAAUCUGUGGCAGUGUUAGUCUGGUCGCUGGGGGGUGAGAGGUUGGGUAUAUAUAGGGGGCGUCUGUAGUGAACCAGUGACAGUGGGAAAGUAAACGGGCAAAUCUCCGUUUUAGACUAGGAAUGUUUAACAUUAGGUUAGCCUUGCCUUCCAAUAUCUUUCUAUUCGUUUAGAUAUACUUUUAAAAUAAUUGAAAACGUUUUUAGUGAAAAUAUUUUUAGAUUCCAAAAGCAUUUUAAGUGAUUUCUGCAAUAAACACUAAUUAUGUGCUUCUUUCAAGAAACACUUUAAGUAAUUUUUCAGGAUUCACUUGUAUUUUUACUAAGGAUUGAUUCAAAAAAUAUUAUCACCAAAAAUACUUUCAGUUAUUUUAAAAGCACAUCCAAACUAGCCUUUAAUAGUUUAAUACAAAACAUAGAUCACGUUAAUGUUUUUAAACUAAACUGCUUUAACAGAAGAAAAUAUAAAAAGAAAACAAAGAAUAUUGACAUUCAUAUUUUGCUGUCCGAUCAAGGAAUGAUUAAAAUAACUUUUUAUAUAUAGCGUCAUUCAAUAAUUCACUCAGGACAUUCGAAGAUAUAUUUUUAUCGGUUCACAAUUUCCUUACUUUUGUAAUCUUCUUUCCAAUAUGAGGUUUGGUUUUUCUCGUUUUUCUUUGUAUUGAUUCCAUCUAGGUAUUAUUCUUCUCGAUCACAUCUUAUUGGUCACUUCAUUUGAUUUUGAAUCAUUAAAACCUGUAUUGCUAUUUCUUAUUUACAGAGGAUAAACAACCCAAAAUCCUAGCCAUGCUCUUCUUUUUUUUCAACGUACAUUCAUUAAUAAGAACAUCAUUCAUCAUGAAUACAAUUCAGUGAUUACAAAUGCAACAAAAAGACAAUACAAAUUUUACCCCAUAUAACCGUAAAUCUAACCAAACGGAAGGAUAACACUCAUAAAGACAAAAUCUUGCUUCACUUUCUUAAUAACUUGCAAAAGACGACGCUCAUUCGACAAAUAAGUCAUGCUACGAGACAUCACGGAGAUGUCUUCAUAGUCCUUUGCCAAAAAAAACAACAAACAACGAAACCACAACCAAAACAAAAUAAACUCUUCAAAGGUACGAUUCCUCAAUCAUGGGAUACCCGCACCUAACUAACAAGAAAGAUAAGCUCGCAAUGCCUAAACCCAAUGAGCCGGCUGGACCUAACACCAUCAAGACUCGCAAGGUAAACAUCCUACCAUCACCUGAAGAAUUUGCAACGACAAUAAAACAUGAUUGUGAAUCCCUCAAACCACUGCAACAACCCCUCAAACGAAAGACCACACCACCCUUUGAUGACAAGACUCGCAGGGUAAACAUCCAACCAUCACCUGAAGAAUUUGCAACGACAAUAAAACAUGAUUGUGAAUCCCUCAAACCACUGCAACAACCCCUCAAACGAAAGACCACACCACCCUUUGAUGAUCUUCAAAUAGUCAACAAUCUUACUAUGAGUCACCUCCAACAAACGUGAGCUUCUUCCCAUAAUCCUUGCCAAAAGCACAAACCACAAAAUCACCACUUCAAAUUUGAACAACAAAUAUCACUUUUAAAAUCUGAAGUUGAGUAAUAAGUUAUUACCGCAACAAAAACUCUCAUCCUCAACUAUAAAAACUCUCCGCGACAAAACAAGCAAAAAAUAUGACUUUUCUCUUGGCGUCCGAGUAUCACCUCCUCCCUUUUCCAUUAUGGUGCGUUUCCUUUCCCUAUCUCGGUUUACUUUGUAUUGAUACCGUCUCCUGUAUCAAGAGAAGAAUACAUUACUAUCUAGUUAUUAGUCUUCUCCAUCACUUCUUCAUCGUCACUUCAAUCACAUCUUAACCGUCACUAAAUCGUUGAAUUUUUUUUUUUUUUUUCAAAAACCUACCCACGAUUUCACUCUCUAAUAUUGUUCUUGAAUUUAAAGUUGAAGACAUUAUUUCAAGUUUCAACCACUUCCCGUAAUUCAACCAACCCAUGUCUACAUUGUCCACGUAGAGAUUUCCAUCACCAGACUAUGUACUAUUUUAGAAUGAUAAAUUAAAUGGCAGUAUUGCUAUUUUUGUAGUGCUCAAGUGUCUUUUCUUGUUUAUGGAAUAGUCCUUACCAACAAUGAAGAUCAAAGUAACACUCAAACCGACAUUGACAGCUAUAACGAGUGCUUUUAUAAGACGCACUUCUGUUUAUAUAAAUUCCUUAAACCCAAUUAAAUUGCAUUUUUUGUGUUUUCUUCAAUUAACUUUACAUUUUUAUUUCAAAUGUUAUAUGAUAAAUGGUUUUGAUUUUUUCAAAAAGCUUUUUUUUAAACAAAACGAUAGUAUUUACACUAAGAGAAAUGAUGUGGGCUUAGUCUCACAAUGAGCAGGCAAAAUGUGGUUCAAAUUCGCCUUUAGCGAAAAUCAAACCUAAAACCUCUCGCUUACAAGUAAAUAACGUUUUUAAUCUUUCUAAAAGCACUAACAAACAAAUAUUAGUUAUUUCAAACAUGUAAUAGGGAAUUUAAGCGCCCCGAUUUGUGGCUAUUUUGCCUAGUUUUGGGGACCAGUGAAGGAGAUCCAAAUAAAUGCCCUGGUAGAAUAGCUCACCUUUCAGCCCAUCACCAACCAACUAAAAUAUGCAAACGUGUAUGUAUUAACCAAUAACCAAAGUCCACGACCAUCAUGUACGGUGCAAGCGCACCCUCUUACUUUGCUCCUCUCUCUAAUGGCGUUGUGUCACCAAUUUGUUUUCAAGUUUGUAACCAAGUGGUAUUCAAUACGUGAGGGGAACAAACGAAGACGGAUAUCCUAUUUUUCGGGAACAUAUAUCAUCGGCGACGUCUCCAAACUAAUCAUAAAUAACUGAGAGUCGUCCACCAACACGUAAACAACAAGAUCUAGAAUGCAUGAUUUACUAAAACAUAUAUAUGUAUUGUACAGUAUGAACACAUAAGCUCUAGCUUGUACACUAGAAACAAUGCGUCGAUCAAUGAGAUUGAUUGGCAUGGUUUAACCCUGCAAGAAACGUUGGCGUAAAACUUUUGAUUUUAUUUUUUAUGUUGCAGUAUUCAUUAAUCAUGCUUAUCAUUUAAAGACGUCAACAUUUAUUUAUUGAAAUAAGUCUGAUGAGAGAACGUUAUCUGUUUAAAAUUGUUGGGACUUCACAACUAAUUAUUUGAUGUGUUAUAGAUUAAUGAGAUGUAUUAGAAUUCGAAAAGCUUCGUAUUUGCACGAAAGAAUGUGAUGGGGUGGUGGGAGUUUGAUGGGGAAACAUGGGACCCUUGAUUUUUCAGGAAUUAUUUGCUGAAUUCCGAUAAGAAACGAAACCUUGUGAGCCCAGCAGAGCAGCAUUCCCAAGAAUUGGACAUGUAAGUGGUGAAAGUUCUGAAACAAAGCAUGUGAAUUGCAGUCUGGAAUCCGCUAUAAAAAUUCCUACCCCACUCUUUAAAUUGCACGAUGUUUAUAUAUAUAAUAUGUCAAUAUCUUAGGAUUUGUUUGUAAAUGUUUUUAAAAUGAUUAAAAUCGUUUUUUGUGAAAUUAUUUUUGGAUUCCAAAACCACAUGAAAUUCUUCUUACAAAAAACAUAUAAUUGGUGUUUCUUGCAGAAAGCACUUCAAAUAUUUUUUCAAGAUUCACUUAUAUUUUUACUAAAAAUUGGUUCCAAAAACACUUUUAAAGAAAUUGCUUUCAUCAUUUUAAAAACAAUUUCAAACUAACAUUUAUUUAUUUGAUAAACACAUUAUGCGCUGUCAAUUUCUGUAGGAAAUUUCAUCAAACUUGUCUUCACAAGUUUUGGUAAACACAAACUAACUAAAACUCGUGGGGAUAAGAAGUAUAGAGAUGAAAUGUAGAGAACCUGUGGGAAAGAAAUUCUAUAUGUACUAAAACCCGUGGAGAAAUCAAUGUAGCUUAGUAACAGUGCAUUUCCAGUUUUACACCCGCUUAUUUCAACUUCGCCCCGUUUGCUUCCUUCUUCUAUGCUCCUCCCCCCUCGUGUAAUAUGCCAAACCUUCAUCUUCAACUCGACCUCCCCCUUCACAAACUCCCUCCGGUCCCUUUUCUCUAUAAAUUGUAAUCACCGCCACCACCAGUUCGCUCAAACUUUGUCUAUAAAGCCUCUUUAAAUGCACAAGAAUUGAGAUUUUUGUAUCAUCAACAACAAAGACAUGAAAGUUGUCGCAAGAAAGAAGAUUACCUGACAAAGAGGAGGUUUUCUUGGAUUCUCAUCGUCUCUUGGGCCACCACUUCCACCUUCAUUUCCAGGUGCCUUUUAGGACCUGAUGUUGAACAGAAAUGAUGCCAACCGAAAGCAUUGUAACUUUCCCAUUCAACGUUGCCACGUUGAAGGCAAUAACGACGAGAAAUUUUUGAAGUCAAGCAAGAAAUCAAUGGCUUCUCCCGCAUAAAAAGCAUUUUUCUCACUCUCUUUUACAGUGGAAGAAGCUAUUGAUUUCUUUCUUGGCUUCGACAGUAUCUUCAAAAAUUUCUCCGCCGUUGUUGCCUUCAACAUGGGGACGUUGAAUGGGAAAGUUCCAUUAUCGAGGGGUGUUUUCUGUUCAAUAUUAUGGGGUCCGCAAAAAUGCACCCUGAAAAUGAAGGUGUUGGUGGUGAUCCAAGAGACGAUGGAAAUCCAAGAAACCUCCUCUUUUUUAGGUUAUCUUUUUUCUUGCUAUUAUUUUCAUGUCUUUUGCUGUUGAUCAUGCAAAAAUCUCAUUUUUCACGACUAAAGCUUGUAAGCACAAGGCCAUAUUAGAUGACUUGUAUGUCUGAGACUCUGAAUUGCCGUUACUAAACUUGUGAUUGCAAGAGAGAAAAUUGUUUAUUGGGCCGGCAAUGCCGUGGAAAAAAACAAAACUUCAUGAAAAAAUAUAUUCUCCCAUCACACUAAUUAUGUUUCUGAAAUGAAUGUGUGAAACAACUGUGAUCUUUAGUCAAUGCAAUUCUUAUCUUUUAAGUUUCAAGAAUUUCUGUAAAGCUUAGUAUUUGUGAAAAUAAUUCAAGUGUUUUUUUUUUUUGUGCAAAAAAUUAUUUUUUAUUUAAUUUUUUUUAUUUGGUUUUCACCUGAUAAAAUCGUUUGACAGCACCAGGCUACCAGCUACAUGCCAGGAGGCCCAGUUCAAAAUCUGUGGCGUGUGAGUUGUUUGAUAAAAGGUAGAGUGAAGAUAGGACAAUACUUGCGUUUCACGAAACAGUUGAUCUAAUUAUUAAAUAUAUUGUCACUUAGUACUACAGUAUAAUAGUAUUUCUCUUCACUUGUAAGUAAGAUGUAUUAGGUUUGAUUCUCACCAAAAACAAAUUUGAACCUUUGGUGAAUUUGAACUAUAUUAUUGCUAGUCUCUUGUGAAGCUAACCUCACUCUUCUCUUCCUUAAUGUAGAUAAUAUUGUUUGUUGAAAAAAAAAAAAGGCUAUUGAGCAUAUUGUAUUCACAAAUUGGGAUUUCAUGCUCAAAUAUUUGGGUACCAGUAAUAGUCCAUCUAAAUGUCCUACAGUUCGAGGGAAACUUACAUAUGUAUAUCUUUUUUAAAAAGAGACUUGCAACGAUAAUUUGUAGGAAGAAUACUUUUUAGGGAACUUUAACGAAAAGCAUCUGGUACUGUUCAUUUUAACGAAAAACCACAUUUUUACACUAAAAAGUCAAUCCUGGUACUAUUCACUUUACUCUUUAUUUUGUCCUUAUCAUUAAAACUCAAAGUUUUCAAACCCUUUUCAUUAGUUUUCCUUACUUUCUAACGAGCGUUUGGAAAUAACUUAUAUACAACAUACGUAUAUCUUUUUAGAAGAGACUUGGCCACAAAAAUAUAUGGGAUUUUAGCUAAAAUAGCCUUAUUUGCAAAACACAAUUCCAAAGAAGUCCAUUUUGCAAAAUAGAAUCUGCAAUGGGCACUAACUAUUGGUUAAUUGCAUAUCAGCCCAAAUUUAUUAUUAUGAUAUCAUCAUUAUUCUGUCACACUGUUGUCAUUAGCUCCAAUUUGUCAUAAUAUUAAAAUAAAAUUCAAAAAAUGAUCUUUAUGUGGUUAUUCUUGUUGUAGGCCUAUUUGACUUAACUGUAUUUAAUACAGAGAGGGAGAAGGGUCGGCGACAACAGAGAUAGAAGAGUGAGAUGUAAUUUUGAGGUAUGUGUUGUAUCAUCCUAUUGUGUCUUUAUUUAUAGUAGUAGGGAAGAUUAAAUCAUUACCCUAUUAGGAUUACAACUCUAAUAGGAAUUUAACCACUAAAGAGAAUAUACAAAGAUACUCCUAGAUACACUAGGAUUUACAUAAUCACAUUCCUAAUCCAAUAGAACUGCAACACUCCCCCUUGAGAGUGUAAAUACUCAAACAAAGCAUCACAUCAGAUCUUAAGCAGAUAAGGUAGAACAGUUGAUGAAGUCGUCGGCACAACGGGUGAAUGGGAGUCUCAAAUUUAAAAGAAAGUAUGCAUGGGUAGUAAAACUCAUAAACACUUUGCUCUAGUAAAACCUAAGGCAGGUGAAAACCCAUAGACUAAGGAGAAAAGUGAGAAGUAUGCAUAAUGUCUUAAAACAAACGUCAAAUAGGAUGAAAAUAGUGAACUCAACGGAGUAUGAUCAUCACAGGAUGAGUGCCUCGUUUAAACCUCUUUAGGUAGCAAAACCCCAGUGGGAAAAAUGUUCCUAAUCAUAAGAAAAAUAGUAUAUUAAGAUCAAGUGAGUAUGCUUCAAGAUACUCCUCUUGAGUUAUACAUAACUUCCAAAUAAGAGAAAGUAAUUCAACUCAGAUAAUUUACGCAUACCGAUUCCUUGGACGAGCUUCUGAAAAGUAGACUUAAACAAUGACUUGGUGAAGAGAUCGGCCAAGUUGUCUUGGGAACGGAUUUGCUUGACUUCAAUGUUUUGAUGAUAUUGUUGCUGGUGAGAAUAAAAUAACUUCGGCGUUAUGUGUUUGGUGUUGUCUCCCUUAAUGUAACCAUUCUUUAACUGCUCGAUACAUGUUGCAUUGUCUUUAAACAUCAUCGUAGGAAGGUCAAUGACAGAAGUAAGACCACUAGUGCUUCGAAAAUGUUCCAUGACUGCUUUCAACCAAAAGCACUCAAACAAUGCUUCAUGCAAGGUGAGAAUCUUAGCAUGGUUCGAAAAAGUCGCAACUACCGUUUGCUUGAUAGACCUACAAGAUAUAGCGGUGUCUCCAAUGGUAAAUACAUAACCUGUUUGAGAAUGUGCCCUAUAUGGGUCAGACAGAGAACCAACAUCUGUGUAACCAACGAGGUGAGAAUAAACUCAAGUGACAGAGGGGGGCGGUGGCUUCUCUCAAGGAUUCAUGGGUGUAGAACAAGCCCAAAUCAAUCAUACCCUUAAGGUAGCGAAACAUAUCUUUAACACCAUUCCAGUGUCUGCGUGUAGGCGUAUUGCUGUAUCUAGCCAAAAGAUUAAUGGUGAGAUAUAGGUCUAGUGCAUUGAGCCAAGUACAAUAAAGCACCAAUUGCACUUAGGUAUGGAACUUUAGGCUCCAAAAUCUCUUCUUCAUCCUCCUUUGGACUGAAGGGAUCUCAUUUAGCAUCUAGAGUCCGAACGACCAUAUGAGUACUCGAAAGCUUCGCUUUAUCCUCAUUAAAACGUCGCAACACCUUUUGGGUGUAGUUCGAUUAAUGUACUAAGAUUUCAUUCGAACAAUGCUCGAUCUCUAGGCCGUUUUCCCAAGAUCUUUCAUCUCAAAUUCCAAUUUCAAGUGAACGACGAUUUCCUCAAGCUCUGCGGGAGUUCCAAUGAAGUUCAUGUCGUCGACAUAAACUACAACGAUUGCAAAUCUAGAAUGUGACUUCUUUAUGAACACACAUGGGCAUAAUUCAUUGUUCACAUAACCCUAACUUGUCAAAUAUUCACUUAGAUAGUUAUACCAUAUCCACUUAAAUUGUUUCAAUCCGUAGAGUGAUCUCUUCAAUCUAAUCGAGAAAGUGUUCCGUGGUCUAAAACUAUUUGAACCAGUCAAUGGAAGUCCUCCUAUAACUUUUAUGUACAUUUUUGUAUCUAGAUCCCCAUAGAGAUACGCAGUUACCACGUCCAUAAGCUGCAUAUUCAGUUUUUCAAAAACUACCAAACUAAUAAGAUUGCAAAACGUUAUGAUGUCUAUUACAGGGGAAUACGUCUCCUCGCAAUCGAUCCCAGGGUGCUGAGAGAAGCCUUGCGCUACGAGGCGUGCUUUGUAUCACAUUAUUUCAUUUUUUCUCAUUACGCUUGCUCACGAAAACCUACUUGUAGCUCACGGGCUUCACAUGUGGGGGAGUAGGAGCUACAGGCCCAAACACCUUACAUUUCGCAAGCGAAUUAAGUUCGACCUGGAUUAAUUAUUUCCAGUUUGACCAAUUUGUUCUAUGUCGACAUUCAUCAACGGAACGUGGUUCAAUGUCAUCGCUAAGCAUGAUGUCGGAAGUAACGGUAUAUGCGAAUACAUCAUCGACAAUCAUCUCAUUCUGAUUCCAAACCUCAUCCAAUACUGCGUAAUGGACCGAAAUCUCAUGAUUCUUGGGAGGCCGGUAUGUUUCAUCUAAGACAUCGCCGUAAUCUAAAAUAACCACAUG